GAUGAACGCUGGCGGCGUGCCUAAUACAUGCAAGUCGAGCGAACGGACGAGAAGCUUGCUUCUCUGAUGUUAGCGGCGGACGGGUGAGUAACACGUGGAUAACCUACCUAUAAGACUGGGAUAACUUCGGGAAACCGUAGCUAAUACCGGAUAAUAUUUUGAACCGCAUGGUUCAAAAGUGAAAGACGGUCUUGCUGUCACUUAUAGAUGGAUCCGCGCUGCAUUAGCUAGUUGGUAAGGUAACGGCUUACCAAGGCAACGAUGCAUAGCUGACCUGAGAGGGUGAUCAGCCACACUGGAACUGAGACACGGUCCAGACUCCUACGGGAGGCAGCAGUAGGGAAUCUUCCGCAAUGGGCGAAAGCCUGACGGAGCAACGCCGCGUGAGUGAUGAAGGUCUUCGGAUUGUAAAACUCUGUUAUUAGGGAAGAACAUAUGUGUAAGAAACUGUGCACAUCUUGACGGUACCUAAACAGAAAGCAACGGCUAACUACGUG
rnacentral:rRNA from 1 species